rnacentral:rRNA from 1 species
GAUGAACGCUGGCGGCAUGCCUAAUACAUGCAAGUCGAGCGAACAGACGAGGAGCUUGCUCCUCUGACGUUAGCGGCGGACGGGUGAGUAACACGUGGAUAACCUACCUAUAAGACUGGGAUAACUUCGGGAAACCGGAGCUAAUACCGGAUAAUAUAUUGAACCGCAUGGUUCAAUAGUGAAAGACGGUUUUGCUGUCACUUAUAGAUGGAUCCGCGCCGCAUUAGCUAGUUGGUAAGGUAACGGCUUACCAAGGCGACGAUGCGUAGCCGACCUGAGAGGGUGAUCGGCCACACUGGAACUGAGACACGGUCCAGACUCCUACGGGAGGCAGCAGUAGGGAAUCUUCCGCAAUGGGCGAAAGCCUGACGGAGCAACGCCGCGUGAGUGAUGAAGGUCUUCGGAUCGUAAAACUCUGUUAUUAGGGAAGAACAAAUGUGUAAGUAACUAUGCACGUCUUGACGGUACCUAAUCAGAAAGCCACGGCGAACUACGU